rnacentral:rRNA from 1 species
AUUGAACGCUGGCGGCAGGUCUAACACAUGCAAGUCGAGCGGAUGAAGGGAGUUUGCUCUUGGAUUCAGCGGCGGACGGGUGAGUAAUGCCUAGGAAUCUGCCUGGUAGUGGGGGAUAACGUCCGGAAACGGGCGCUAAUACCGCAUACGUCCUGAGGGAGAAAGUGGGGGAUCUUCGGUCCUCACGCUAUCAGAUGAGCCUAGGUCGGAUUAGCUAGUUGGUGGGGGAAAGGCCUACUAAGGCGACGAUCCGUAACUGGUCUGAGCGGAUGAUCAGUCACACUGGAACUGAAACACGGUCCAGACUCCUACGGGAGGCAACAGUGGGGAAUAUUGGACAAUGGGCGAAAUCCUGAUCCAGCCGUGCCGCGUGUGUGAAGAAGGUCUUGGGAUUGUAAAGCACAUUAAGUUGGGAGGAAGGGCAGUGAGUUAAUGCCUUGCUGUUUUGACGUUACCAACAGAAUAAGCACCGGCUAACUUCGUG